GAUAAACGUUGGCGGCGUGCCUAACGCAUGCAAGUCGCACGGGGGCUUCGGCCCUAGUGGCGGACGGGUGAGUAACACGUAGGGACCUGCCCGGAAGUGGGGGACAACUUCCCGAAAGGGAAGCUAAUACCGCAUACGGUCUACGGACCAAAGCUUCGGCGCUUCUGGAGGGACCUGCGGUGGAUUAGCUAGUUGGUGGGGUAACGGCCUACCAAGGCGACGAUCCAUAGCUGGUCUGAGAGGAUGANCAGCCACACUGGGACUGAGACACGGCCCAGACUCCUACGGGAGGCAGCAGUGGGGAAUUUUGGACAAUGGGGGCAACCCUGAUCCAGCCAUGCCGCGUGAGUG
rnacentral:rRNA from 1 species